UUAGCCGAAACAAAUAAAAUGUUAAUCCAACAACAAUUAAUUUAAAAUAACCCACAUAUAAAUAGUCAUUCAUCGUCUUCCUCAUUAUUUACCCAAAUAAAAAAAAAUGAUGUGAGAGAAGCUCCCUUUUCUCCCUACUGCCGCCGCCAUCACCAGCGCCGCCGUCCGCCGUCCGCCGUCGCCGCCUCCGGCGGCGCCCUCUAUCUCCAUCCAUCUCCCCCCUCUCUUUUCUUCCUUCCUCUCUUCUCUCACUCUCUCUCUCUUUUCUCCCUCAGCCACGCUCACGCCACCGCCGCCUCCGGCGGUGCUCCUCUUCUCUUCUCUUCUCCGUCUUCUUCUCGCCCUGAUUCCGCCGCCAUCACCGUCAUGCACCGCCUCGACGGCUGCAGCCCUCUCUUUCCAGCUCUAUUAGCGCCAUUUACCGCCUCCCCCUUUCGGAUCUGCCGCCGCCGCCACUGUGCUUGCACAGGCGGUGGCUUCGGCCUCCUCCGUGCCCCGAACCGCCGGCCGCCUCUUCGCCGGUUUCAACAAGCAAGGAAAACUAACAUCCAUGGUUAUCUCCGUUGAUGUAUCGGACUUCCUUGGAGGACAAGCACGGCCGUUGAGCGGGCUGCCUGGACUCUCUAAUUGUAAUAGAUUACGAAUUUGCUUCAUUUGUAUAAUAGUAUUUUAGCGGACUUCGGAGAUGUGCUGGACAUUAUAAAUUUUUAUUUGGUGUCA